UCCAAAUGGACUGACUCAUUUAAUCAACAGCACCCAGAAACAGAAGGCGUCGCCUGUACUAGUCAGGUAAACAAGUCUAUUUUUAUCAAGGGAGAUUCACAUCAGGGCCAGUAAUAAGACGGUAAUAUUAAUGACAUGAAAGCUGACUCCUCCUAGUGUGAUGAUACAGGCUACCUGAAAAGCAUCACCAUAUGGCCACAUCUCUUCCAUAACUCCCAUCACGGCAAGCAUCCCAUCUGCAUCCACAGGGCCUCCACUUGCAGCACUGCCCCAAUGUCUCCUACUCACAUUGUCCCUCCCUCCCUACGGUAGGAAGCAAACUUCCUGAUGGACCUGCUACAAUUCAUCAUGUUGACAUCUUCCCACACUCUGAAGGCUGUAUGAAGUGAGCAUAUACUUGCUUUAGACCACUGUAAGGUUUCAUUUCCUGGGUGAAACAGAUUGCGACUUCUGUCAUCUUGUUACUCAGUCUUCUUAACUUGCUGAUAAAGGAAAAUGCCAAGUGGGAGAGGCUCAUUAAAGGUAGUCUCCCACUAAGUGAAUUUUCAGAUGACCCUGGAAGCUUGGAAGCCAAUUCUUCUCCAGCUGAACCUUCGAAUGAGAGACAAGUCCUGACUAACACUGAAAUGAUUCUAGGUUUAACAAGUGUCCAGUGACGUGGCCAAAGAGUCGUGGUGGCCUGCACUUUCAUGGAAGUCACCACACAAUUCUCAAACAUAUUCAGAACUCCUGAGAGGACACAGGCUGAGGCUGGAGAAUCCACACAAGUUGGAAGUCGCUGCAAUGACAAUACAGAGCAAACAAACCGACCAAAAUCGCCUGCCAGACACCUAGAACACAAUGGGAGUGGAGGCAAACACCAGUGAACCAGAAGACAGAGGCAGAUGCAGGAGGACCACAAGUUCAAGGCCAACCUGAGCUAGGGAGAUCCCGUCCCUUAGAGCAGCCACUUAGUGAGGCAAGUGUUCUUCUCACAAGCAUGAGAACCUAGCAUCCACCAAAAGCCCAGCAUGGAUGGUAGCACACCAGAGGGGCCUAGACUGGCAGAUCAGCAGGGCUUGCUGGCUAACCUUAUCAGUAAACCCCAGGACCCCCCAGAGAGCCUUUGGACAGCUCCGGAGGAACAAUGUUCAAGGUUGACAUCUGGCCUCCCUGGGUAAAGGCAGACCUGUUCGCGUUCACCCACACUCACAAAACAGCAAAAAGGAAACUGAAAUAAAAGCCUCUGGAAUGCCA